rnacentral:rRNA from 1 species
UACGAAGGGGGCUAGCGUUGUUCGGAAUUACUGGGCGUAAAGCGCGCGCAGGCGGUCUUCCAAGUCAGUGGUGAAAGCCCGGAGCUCAACUCCGGAACUGCCAUUGAAACUGUAAGACUUGAGGAUGAGAGAGGUGAGUGGAAUUCCCAGUGUAGAGGUGAAAUUCGUAGAUAUUGGGAAGAACACCGGUGGCGAAGGCGGCUCACUGGCUCGAUAUCUGACGCUCAGGCGCGACAGCGUGGGGAUCAAA